rnacentral:lncRNA from 10 species
CCGGCUACGUGCCCAGCGCUCGCGUCUGCUCCAGUCGCUCUGGCGGUGCGGGGCGCUGGCGACGGGACAGGGUUUUUGCUGCCCGGGGCCUAGUCUACCUCGGCACGCUUUUCUCUGAAGGAGACACGCACUUGCACGACGUGGGCCUCUGUGCAGCUCUACUUUGUCCUUAACUCCUCUGACUCAACGUUAUCGCAGUUUGACUCUGGAGCCACUCAGGUUUUUCCUAAGCUCAACUCUAGCCAGCUAGGUUCCUGGUGCUUUGGGGUGCUUCCGCCAAGACUACCAUCUGUGGACUCACAGAAUGCCUUUUCUACCAUCACGGUAUCCCACACAGCAUUGCCUCUGACCAAGACACUCACUUUACAGCUAAAGAAGUGCAGCAAUGGGCUCAUGCUCAUGGAAUUCACUGGUGUUACCAUGUUCCUCAUCAUCCUGAAGCAGCUGGAUUGAUAGCAUGGUGGAAUGGCCUUUUGAAGUCACAAUUAUAAUGCCAACUAGGUGACAAUACUUUGCAGGUCUGGGGCAAAAUUCUCCAGAAGGCCAUGUAUGCUCUGAAUCAGCAUCUAAUAUAUGGGACUGUUUCUCCCAUAGCCAAGACUCACAGGUCCAGGAAACAUUAUGUUCUGCUGGGCCUAGAGGUCUUAGUUCCAGAGGGAGGAACGCUGCCAUCAGGAGACAGAACAACGAUUCCAUUAAACUGGAAGUUAAGAUUGCCACCUGGACACUUUGGGCUCCUCCUACCUUUAAGUCAACAGGGAGUUACAGUGUUGCCUGGGGUGACUGACCCGGACUAUCAAGAUGAAAUCUGAUAUAAGUCUACUGCUCCACAAUGGAGAUACGGAAGAGUAUGCAUGGAUACAGGAGAUCCAUUAAGGCAUCUCUUAGUAUUACCAUGCCCUGUGAUUAAGGUCAAUGGGAAACUACAACAGCCCAAUCCAGGCAGGACUACAAAUGGUCCAGACCCUUCAAGAAUGAAGGUUUGGGUCACUCCACCAGGAAAAAAACCAUGACCUGCUGAGGUGUUUGCUGAAGGCAGAGGGAAUACAGAAUGGGUAGUAGAAGAAGAUAGUCAUCAAUACCAGCUACAACCAUGUGACCAGCUACAGAAAUGAGGACUGUCAUUGUCAUGAGUAUUUCCUCCUUCUUUUGUUAAAAACAUGUUUGUGUGUAUAUACACUUGUACUAAGAAACUAUUUUCAUUUUAUUUCCUUUUCCUUUAUCAUGUGACAUAAGAUUUAUUGACUUCAUAUCAGCAUUUAAGUAUUGUUAACUUUAUAUAACAGUAUUUGGGUUGGGGAUUGGUGUCUUUCUGGUUGUACAAGGGAUAGUCAUAUUAUGUUAAGUGUAAUUAUGAUAUUAUUGUUUUUAUUUGAAGAUUAUGUAUGAUCUCAGGAGAUGUGUUCAAGUUGACAAGGGGUGGACUUGUGAUGGUUAAUACUGAGUGUCAACUUGAUUGGAUUGAAGGAUGCAAAGUACUGAUCCCGCAUGUGCCUGUGAGGAUGUUGCCAAAGGAGAUUAACAUUUGAGUCAGUGGGCUGGAAAAGGCAGACCCACCCUUAACUGGGUGGGCACAAUCUAAUCAGCUUCCAGUGAAUAUAAAGCAGGCAGAAAAAUGUGAAAAGGAGAGAGAUGAGAGACGGGCCUAGCCUCCCAGCCUAUACCUUUCUCCCAUGCCGGAUGCUUCCUGACCUUGAACAUUGAACUCCAAGUUCUUCAGUUUUGGGACUUGCACUGGCUCUCCUUGCUCCUCAGCUUGUAGACAGCUUAUUGUGCAACCUUGUGAUUGUGUAAGUUAAUACUUAAUAAACUCCCCUUUAUAUAUAUCCUAUUAGUUCUGUCCCUCUAAGAGAAGCCUGACUAAUACAAUCCCCGUGUUGGAAGCCUGGCCCUCCGCUGUACAGAGUUAUUGAGGAAGGAGAACAGGGUCUGGAGGCAGCAAACCUAAGGCUGCACGCCAACUUCCUAGAACUAAAUGAAAAGGAAACCCCUAACUUUCCACACACCUAAGUAACAAAAGGACCAGAGGCUACUCCCUUUAACCUUUUUCUGUGAGGCAGAUGGGAAAUUGGCUGCCCUCAAUGAAUCAGACUGAUUGCAGGCCAGUCUUUGUUUGCAUAAAAGUGUAACUUUGAGACCUGGCGUGGUG